UGGGGAGAGGCUGGUGUCAUGUGGGUUGUGUCUGGCUGGGAGAGGCUGGUGUCCUGUGGGUUGUGUCUGGCUGGGAGAGGCUGGUGUCCUGUGGGUUGUGUCUGGCUGGGAGAGGCUGGUGUCCUGUGGGUUGUGUCUGGCUGGGAGAGGCUGGUGUCCUGUGGGUUGUGUCUGGAUGGGAGAGGCUGGUGUCCUGUGGGUUGUGUCUGGUUCUGGGGAGAGGCAGGUGUCCUGUUGGUUGUGUCUGGUUGGGAGAGGCAUGUGUCCAGGGGAUUGUGACUGAUUGGGAGAGGCAGGUGUCCAGUGGAUUGUGUCUGAUUGGGAGAGGCAGGUGUCAUGUGGGUUGUGUCUGGCUGGGAGAGGCUGGUGUCCUGUGGGUUGUGUCUGGCUGGGAGAGGCUGGUGUCCUGUGGGUUGUGUCUGGCUGGGAGAGGCUGUUGUCCUGUGGGUUGUGUCUUGCUGGGAGAUGUGGGUGACCUGUAGGGUGUGUCUGGCAUCCUGUAGGUUGUGUCUGGCUGGGAGAGGCUGGUGUCCUGUGGGUUGUGUCUGGAUGGGAGAGGCUGGUG
ensembl:lncRNA